rnacentral:rRNA from 1 species
GAUGAACGCUGGCGGCGUGCCUAAUACAUGCAAGUCGAGCGAACAGACGAGGAGCUUGCUCCUUUGACGUUAGCGGCGGACGGGUGAGUAACACGUGGGUAACCUACCUAUAAGACUGGGAUAACUUCGGGAAACCGGAGCUAAUACCGGAUAAUAUUUCGAACCGCAUGGUUCGAUAGUGAAAGAUGGCUUUGCUAUCACUUAUAGAUGGACCUGCGCCGUAUUAGCUAGUUGGUAAGGUAACGGCUUACCAAGGCAACGAUACGUAGCCGACCUGAGAGGGUGAUCGGCCACACUGGAACUGAGACACGGUCCAGACUCCUACGGGAGGCAGCAGUAGGGAAUCUUCCGCAAUGGGCGAAAGCCUGACGGAGCAACGCCGCGUGAGUGAUGAAGGUCUUCGGAUCAUAAAACUCUGUUAUUAGGGAAGAACAAACGUGUAAGUAACUGUGCACGUCUUGACGGUACCUAAUCAGAAAGCCACGGCUAACUACGUG